rnacentral:lncRNA from 1 species
CUCUCAGACACAGGUAAACUGGGACAGUUGGUCAACCUAUUACUGGUCUCCUGACCAAAGAAAUAACACAAGAAAAGAACAUUUGAAAUAUAAUGAUUGGAAAGAAAGAUACAGAAUUUUCAUUAUUUAAGAAGACUCCUCUGUGAGAAUUCUGUUCUUUUCCAACGUGGACACAAUGGCUGUUAUAAUAAUAAAAUCCAUAACCUUAUCGUGGCCCCUGUGCUUUUGCAUAGUCUGUUAUGGCCUUAUAAUACCCAAAUAUCCAUCAAAGUAGGAGAAGGAGUUUUACAUAAUAAAUGUAGAGAGAAUGUAAAAUUGAAUUUUGGUGGAAAGAGCUUGAUCAAAAGUACAGUAACUAUUAAAAUGCCUGCCUACUUGACAGAUGAGAAAACUGAGGAUCAGAGGAGUUAA